rnacentral:sRNA from 1 species
GCUGAGUAUGUGUGGUGAUAUAGAGUUUGUGUGGUGAGAGCAACAAUGGAGUUUGUGAAGAUUGUGUAGCUUUUGUACUUUACAUCACGGAGAAACCUCUCUAGAUUUUGAUUUUGUGUAGAGAUUUAGUGCAAAACAACGACAAAAGAGGCGGUGAUGACGUGACACAACUCCAUAAAUCGAAAACCAGUUCUGAUUGAUUUCAUCUUCUUCUUGAAUGAAGCUUUUUUGAUUUUUUUUUGAAUCACUGGUACAGUUCUGAUUUACUUAUUUUUGGCCAGUUAUAUAUGUUAGUUAUACAAAAAAUGAAUUUUGAUUGAAUUUUUUAUUGGCCAAGUUAUAUAUGUGAGCUUGAUCAAAUUCAAUUUGUUAUAGUCAUCGAAGCCAACAAAAUUCGAAAGUGAAAACAUAAUAAGAAAGUUUGUUUCCUUUAGUUGCCAUUUCAGGCGGUGAGAGAGUUAGCACAUCGUGUUUUGGGUUGAUGUAGGAAGAACGAAGAGAAAUCUCUGGACUUGAAAAAUCAUGGAAUCUUUGCUUUCACAGCCGAUGCUUUGCGUUUAUACUCUAACGCUUUACAAGUAUCCAUCCACAAGUGACCAUUUCAUGUUGAACAUAUAGUUAGAGUUAUAUGGAUCCUUUACAUUUUUCUAUUGACUUAAUCAUAUCCAAAAUUGUUUAUGGAUGUUGUUGGACGCACCCGACCAUUUAUAGUCGUCCAUAUGGAUAAACCAAUUUGUAAAAUUACAUAUGAACACAAGUUAUAUGAAGGGAAACUCAAGUUAACACCAA